CAGGGCCACUGAGGAAGGAAGAUCACAAACUCAAGCCCUGUGUGGGCUACUUAGUGACUUGGUAAGACUGCAUCUCAAGGACUUUGGUUGCUGUCCAUGAGGAUAUUUUGUAAAGAGAAGAAUCUGUAAUGAAGAUACCAAUUGUUAAUUCCAGUGAUGUGAAAACAGGGGAAAAAUGUAGGUAAAAUCCUGAACUUGAAAGCCCAUAUUCCUUGUUGCUGAUGCUCCUGAAUCCAGAGAUCCAUGGAUGCCCCACCUUUACCCCAGGCCCUGGCUCUUCUCAUCUCAGGCAGCAGGAGAGAUUUCUUAACAAGAUCCAUGGUCUUGGUUGGAGGAGGAAAAAGACAAUUCUCUUCAUGAGCAUCUAAUCAAAACAUGACAUUUGGCAGGUCUGCAGGCAAAGCUAUAGUAGUUUUGGCAGAACCUGUGACCAGCAGAAGUCACAAGUAUUUUCAUAGCACAGAGACAGCUGCAGAUGUCUGGAAAUGCAUUCCGUGUGUCUGCUCUUUUCCUCCUAGAGUAAGAUACACAAAUGUACCUUGCUUAUAUU